rnacentral:rRNA from 1 species
AGCGAACGCUGGCGGCAGGCUUAACACAUGCAAGUCGAACGGGCAUAGCAAUAUGUCAGUGGCAGACGGGUGAGUAACGCGUGGGAACGUACCUUUUGGUUCGGAACAACACAGGGAAACUUGUGCUAAUACCGGAUAAGCCCUUGCGGGGAAAGAUUUAUCGCCGAAAGAUCGGCCCGCGUCUGAUUAGCUAGUUGGUAGGGUAAUGGCCUACCAAGGCGACGAUCAGUAGCUGGUCUGAGAGGAUGAUCAGCCACAUUGGGACUGAGACACGGCACAAACUCCUACGGGAGGCAGCAGUGGGGAAUAUUGGACAAUGGGCGAAAGCCUGAUCCAACCAUGCCGCGUGAGUGAUGAAGGCCGUAGGGUUGUAAAGCUCUUUUGUGCGGGAAGAUAAUGACGGUACCGAAAGAAUAAGCCCCGGCUAACUUCGUG